UACGUAGGGGGCAAGCGUUGUCCGGAUUUAUUGGGCGUAAAGAGCGUGUAGGCGGCCAGGUAGGUCUGCUGUGAAAACUCGAGGCUCAACCUCGAGAGGUCGGUGGAAACCGUCUGGCUAGAGUCCGGAAGAGGAGAGUGGAAUUCCUGGUGUAGCGGUGAAAUGCGUAGAUAUCAGGAGGAACACCGGUGGUGUAGACGGCUUUCUGGACCGUAACUGACGCUGAGACACGAAAGCGUGGGUAGCAAACAGG
rnacentral:rRNA from 1 species